UUAUAUUUAUAAUAAUUAUUGUGAUAUUGUUAUUUCAGAGUUUAUUUCUUUCUACUGGUAUAAUAAAAUCAUCCGAACCCUCAAUCCGAACCCUAAACAGAGAUGGUUAUUUACUUUGACCCAAGAAUCGACCCUGUUACACAUAGAUUUGGAUUUACGUUUAGUGUUUUUAUCAUCACCAAACAUUAUUGAAAUUCUCGCUUUAUUUUUAUCUGCGUGUAUUGUAAAUGUUAUGUUACUAAACAAACUACAUGCAUUGUCUAUUAAUUUUACCAAAUAAACAGGUAAUUUAUCCAUAUGACUGGUUCGGGUUAAUAUCUAGGUCGUCAGCACAUAUCUUUAAAAAGUGUCUUAUCUUUCAGUAAUCAAACUUUGUGAUACUUUCGAUUCAUUGUUAUUCGUUAGAAACAAUUUUUGUUGGUACAGGUAAACCACGAAUUCAAAUGUUUAACGCUUUACAAAUUGUCUAUAAGGCUUAUAAAUAUGCUGAGAUUGUCAAAACCAAACAUUGACUAUAAAGGGCAAUAACUC
rnacentral:lncRNA from 1 species